rnacentral:snRNA from 1 species
UUGCUUCAGCAGCAUAUACACUAAAAUUGGAAUGAUAAAGAGAAGAUUAGCAUGUCCCCAUGCAAAGAAAACAUGCAAAUUGAUGAAGUGUUCUAUACCUUU